GACGAACGCUGGCGGCGCGCUUAACACAUGCAAGUCGAACGGAAAGGCCUGCUUUCCCUUGUGGAUUGCGGGUACUCGAGUGGCGAACGGGUGAGUAACACGUGAGUGAUCUGCCCCCAACUUGGGUAUAAGCCUGGGAAACUGGGUCUAAUUCCCGAUAGGACUGCAGGGUGGUGCCUGUGGUGGAAAACGAUUUUCUAGUGGUUGGGGAUGAGCUCGCGGCCUAUCAGCUUGUUGGUGGGGUAAUGGCCUACCAAGGCGGCGACGGGUAGCCGGCCUGGGAGGGUGGACGGCCACAUUGGGACUGGGAUACGGCCCAGACGCCUACGGGAGGCAGCAGUGGGGAAUAUUGCACAAUGGGCGGAAGCCUGAUGCAGCGACGCCGCGUGGGGGAUGACGGCCUUCGGGUUGUAAACUCCUUUCGACCGCGAGGAAGCCACCUGGUUGGAAGGGUGGUGACGGUAGUGGUAGAAGAAGCACCGGCUAACUACGUG
rnacentral:rRNA from 1 species